UUUCCGUAGGUGAACCUGCGGAGGGAUCAUUAAAGAGAUCAUGCCCUCACGGGUCGACCUCCCACCCUUUGUUUACAAUACCUUUGUUGCUUUGGCGGGCCCGUUUGGCCCCGCGCUGAACAACCGGCCCCGGCUGGUCAGUGCCCGCCAGAGAACCGAAAACUCUGAAUUAAAUGUCGUAUGAGUACUAUGUAAUAGUUAAAACUUUCAACAACGGAUCUCUUGGUUCUG
rnacentral:misc_RNA from 1 species